CAAUCAAAAGAUUAAAAAUUAUCUCUCUUCAAGCAUGCAUUUGGUUCAAGCAAUAGAAGCAUUGGUAGGUUACAUUGAUAAUGAUUCUUUAUCUCUACAGUUCUCUAAGCUUAAAGAAAUGAAGCUGAACCUAAACAUAAAUGAUUUUAAUGACUCAUUUCAGCUAGAAUUGUCCCGUAAUUGCACUUCUGAGGCUACAAGUAAAGUACUAGAGCAGUAUGAGAAGUUUAAAAAUGUAAGUUAUCAAGUCACUUCCACUCCUAAUUCUUAUGUUGUAGUUUCACCAAGAUCACAGUACAGUGUUUCAUUGUGCUUGGCUUCUUGCACAUGUGCUUUUUAUAACCAGUACACUCUGCCUUGUGCACAUAUUUUAGCAGUGCGUGACUUUACUAAGCAAGAUCUUUUCGACAAGGCUUGCAUACCAGACAGGUGGUGCAAGGAUCAUUUCCUGAGUGACAGCUGCACAACCACUAGUGCCACACCAGUGGUAACAAGCAGCAUUCAGUCACCACCCUGUGUGAAGCUUGACACUGCACAAGAGAAGUCCAGUACAUUGUGGACUCACCCUGUUGUCAAGUCAUCAGGAAGUUGGAUGAUGCUGUCUUCUUCUAGCUAAAUUAUGCAACUACUAAGAAGGGGAUCAGAAUUCUAUUUUGUAGCAGUUAUUUUACAAAUAAAUGUUAGUAAAAUUUUU